AAUAACAAUGAUCUGUGAACAAUAAUAAUUUGUUAUUUUUUAUUGGUAAAUUAUUUCUUUUUGCGGCUUCUUGUCUGUAGCAAGCUUCUGCAGGCCCAGGCCUAUGAAUAUACUUUAUUGUUUAAAGAUAUUCAUGUGGGGGGAGCCCUGGGGAAAUCCCCAGGGACAUAUUACGCAUCUUCAUUGAUUAAUAAUGUGAUUCCUGUAUUUGGAAUGUAUGUGUUGCUUUGUGUGUGUGAACUUUGCUUCUGGGAAAGUAAAUGGAUUAUUCAUUGAUUAAUGCGUUGGUCUUUGGAAAAAGCUUAAGCAUGCCAUUACUGCUAAUAUUGAUGUCUAGCUUCUAUUUUUACACAUUUACAUGUACAGACACACACACACACACACACAUACAAAGCAUGUUUACAAUUAUCAAAAUUCACAUAACAUUAUGCUCCUGGGUAGUAUUAUCCACUUAAUCACUUGUACAUGUGCAUCCAUGCAUGCAGCAUGCUCCCCUGAUGUAGGUGCUAUUGUAACAAUGUACUCUUGAGUUUUGAUACUUUAUAUAUACUCAUCAGUUUGACACAUAAGCAAGCAUCAGUCAUAGCUUAGCAAACAAAGUAUGAGAGUCAUGCACAGUGUUAUAUUGAAAGGAGUGGGAGAUGGAAAGAGGGUAUUCCAUAUUGCAUAUUGUUAGAGAGAUAGCUGUUAGGCAUGUGAUUGCUAGCAUGGCAAGGAAAUGAGCCAAAGCAAAUGAGUGGGAGAGAAAGGGGAUACAAGAGGUGAACAUGGACACCCUAUCAGUAUGGAUGGGGGCACAUUGUAGAACUACUCUUUUCACUCUGACAUCAAACAAGUUUGUUUGUUCGAGCCAUUUUUAGACAAUGUGAAGAUCCAGCUGUUUCAUGUGACCCUUUUGUAGUUUUUUGUGUUAGAGCUCGUGUUGGCUUGUUAGGGAACAGUGUCAGGAUUAGGAUGAUGACCCUCUGUCACUUUCUGAUUACAAUUUCCAAA